ACUCCUACGGGAGGCAGCAGUAGGGAAUCUUCCACAAUGGGCGCAAGCCUGAUGGAGCAACACCGCGUGAGUGAAGAAGGGUUUCGGCUCGUAAAGCUCUGUUGUUAAAGAAGAACACGUAUGAGAGUAACUGUUCAUACGUUGACGGUAUUUAACCAGAAAGUCACGGCUAACUACGUGCCAGCAGCCGCGGUAAUACGUAGGUGGCAAGCGUUAUCCGGAUUUAUUGGGCGUAAAGAGAGUGCAGGCGGUUUUCUAAGUCUGAUGUGAAAGCCUUCGGCUUAACCGGAGAAGUGCAUCGGAAACUGGAUAACUUGAGUGCAGAAGAGGGUAGUGGAACUCCAUGUGUAGCGGUGGAAUGCGUAGAUAUAUGGAAGAACACCAGUGGCGAAGGCGGCUACCUGGUCUGCAACUGACGCUGAGACUCGAAAGCAUGGGUAGCGAACAGGAUUAGAUACCCUGGUAGGAUACAG
rnacentral:rRNA from 1 species